GGGCACUGGGGGGGCGUGCCUAAUACAUGCAAGUCGAACGCUUUGUGGUUCAACUGAUUUGAAGAGCUUGCUCAGAUAUGACGAUGGACAUUGCAAAGAGUGGCGAACGGGUGAGUAACACGUGGGAAACCUACCUCUUAGCAGGGGAUAACAUUUGGAAACAGAUGCUAAUACCGUAUAACAAUGACAACCGCAUGGUUGUUAUUUAAAAGAUGGUUCUGCUAUCACUAAGAGAUGGUCCCGCGGUGCAUUAGCUAGUUGGUAAGGUAAUGGCUUACCAAGGCGAUGAUGCAUAGCCGAGUUGAGAGACUGAUCGGCCACAAUGGGACUGAGACACGGCCCAUACUCCUACGGGAGGCAGCAGUAGGGAAUCUUCCACAAUGGGCGAAAGCCUGAUGGAGCAACGCCGCGUGUGUGAUGAAGGGUUUCGGCUCGUAAAACACUGUUGUAAGAGAAGAAUGACAUUGAGAGUAACUGUUCAAUGUGUGACGGUAUCUUACCAGAAAGGAACGGCUAAAUACGUGCCAGCAGCCGCGGUAAUACGUAUGUUCCAAGCGUUAUCCGGAUUUAUUGGGCGUAAAGCGAGCGCAGACGGUUAUUUAAGUCUGAAGUGAAAGCCCUCAGCUCAACUGAGGAAUUGCUUUGGAAACUGGAUGACUUGAGUGCAGUAGAGGAAAGUGGAACUCCAUGUGUAGCGGUGAAAUGCGUAGAUAUAUGGAAGAACACCAGUGGCGAAGGCGGCUUUCUGGACUGUAACUGACGUUGAGGCUCGAAAGUGUGGGUAGCAAACAGGAUUAGAUACCCUGGUAGUCCACACCGUAAACGAUGAGUGCUAGGUGUUUGAGGGUUUCCGCCCUUAAGUGCCGCAGCUAACGCAUUAAGCACUCCGCCUGGGGAGUACGACCGCAAGGUUGAAACUCAAAGGAAUUGACGGGGACCCGCACAAGCGGUGGAGCAUGUGGUUUAAUUCGAAGCAACGCGAAGAACCUUACCAGGUCUUGACAUCCCUUGACAACUCCAGAGAUGGAGCGUUCCCUUCGGGGACAAGGUGACAGGUGGUGCAUGGUUGUCGUCAGCUCGUGUCGUGAGAUGUUGGGUUAAGUCCCGCAACGAGCGCAACCCUUAUUACUAGUUGCCAGCAUUCAGUUGGGCACUCUAGUGAGACUGCCGGUGACAAACCGGAGGAAGGUGGGGAUGACGUCAAAUCAUCAUGCCCCUUAUGACCUGGGCUACACACGUGCUACAAUGGCGUAUACAACGAGUUGCCAACCCGCGAGGGUGAGCUAAUCUCUUAAAGUACGUCUCAGUUCGGAUUGUAGGCUGCAACUCGCCUACAUGAAGUCGGAAUCGCUAGUAAUCGCGGAUCAGCACGCCGCGGUGAAUACGUUCCCGGGUCUUGUACACACCGCCCGUCACACCAUGAGAGUUUGUAACACCCAAAGCCGGUGGGGUAACCUUCGGGAGCCAGCCGUCUAAGGUGACCAGAAUAUUG
rnacentral:rRNA from 1 species